AUAAAGACAGAAGGGUCCCAACUGGUCCUGACUAUCCAAGGAAUGUGUCUGAAUUGUGAUUCUCUGCAAGAAGUCUAAUCACCAUGGAGCCAGUCAAGCUGCUUCAGCCAUGAAAAACAACAAUAACAAUCAGGAGAAACUAAAAGACAGAAGUUAUCAUAAGCAAAUUGCACUGAAUAAACAAAGAAAACAUCAGCUUUACUUAGAAUAUGUAAUCUGAUGCCAAUGCUUGUCUUGUCUCUACCACGAGGUCUUCUAAAUACUUCUUUUCAGGUCUUCUAAGUACUUCCACAAAGGCGGAAUUUCUUUCUGAGGAAGACCUAUCGUUACAAUCCUAUCUAAAAAAAGUUCUCUUCUGUCCUCUACCCAAUCUUCUAAAAGCAAACUUUAACUUCUUCUACCAGUUCUAUGA